UUUAUGGCUAUGAAGAGAAAAGUAGUUAAGUAACAUUAUUUCCAGAGAGCUCUUGGGUGGUGUGAAAGAGCAAUAAUACCUUAACGAAAAAAGACUCUGAGCUUUGUACGGAUGCAAAGAUAUUUUUGCUGAUACUACAACGGGAUCUCCCGUUAUAGAGAUAGGGUAUACGCAAGUGAUUCUUUUUCAUUGCCGUACCUGAAGAGGUUGAUAUGGUGACAUAUGAACAAACUGAGGUGGUACCGCGAACGCUAAUAAGCUCUCGUCCUCAAG
rnacentral:ncRNA from 1 species